UACAGAGGUCCCAAGCGUUGUUCGGAUUCAUUGGGCGUAAAGGGUGCGUAGGCGGCGCGGUAAGUCGGGUGUGAAAUCUCGGGGCUUAACUCCGAAACUGCAUUCGACACUGCCGUGCUUGAGGACUGGAGAGGAGACUGGAAUUUACGGUGUAGCGGUGAAAUGCGUAGAUAUCGUAAGGAAGACCAGUGGCGAAGGCGGGUCUCUGGACAGUUCCUGACGCUGAGGCACGAAGGCCAGGGGAGCAAACAGG
rnacentral:rRNA from 1 species